UGCGUAGGUGGCAGUGCAAGUCAGAUGUGAAAGGCCGGGGCUCAACCCCGGAGCUGCAUUUGAAACUGCAUAGCUGGAGUACAGGAGAGGCAGGCGGAAUUCCUAGUGUAGCGGUGAAAUGCGUAGAUAUUAGAAGGAACACCAGUGGCGAAGGCGGCCUGCUGGACUGUUACUGACACUGAGGCACGAAAGCGGUGGGGAGCAAACA
rnacentral:rRNA from 1 species